CUGUCUCAACAACAGACUCGGUGAAAUUGUAAUUCCGGUGAAGAUGCCGGAUACCUGCGACAGGACGGAAAGACCCCAUGGAGCUUUACUGUAGCUUGACAUUGGGUCUUGGUACUACAUGUACAGGCUAGGUGGGAGGCUUUGAAACCAGGACGCCAGUUUUGGCGGAGCCAUCCUUGGGAUACCACCCUUGUAGUACUGGGACUCUAACCAUAGGCCAUGAAUCUGGUCUUGGGACACUG
rnacentral:rRNA from 1 species